rnacentral:rRNA from 1 species
AUUGAACGCUGGCGGCAGGCCUAACACAUGCAAGUCGAACGAGUGGCGGACGGGUGAGUAAUGUCUGGGGAACUGCCCGAUGGAGGGGGAUAACUACUGGAAACGGUAGCUAAUACCGCAUACCAUCGGAUGUACCCAGAUGGGAUUAGCUAGUAGGUGGGGUAAAGGCUCACCUAGGCGACGAUCCCUAGCUGGUCUGAGAGGAUGACCAGCCACACUGGAACUGAGACACGGCCCAGACUCCUACGGGAGGCAGCAGUGGGGAAUAUUGCACAAUGGGCACAAGCCUGAUGCAGCCAUGCCGCGUGUAUGAAGAAGGCCUUCGGGUUGUAAAGUACUUUCAGCGGGGAGGCGUUACCCGCAGAAGAAGCACCGGCUAACUCCGUGCCAGCAGCCGCGGUAAUUC